rnacentral:rRNA from 1 species
UACGUAGGGGGCAAGCGUUGUCCGGAUUUAUUGGGCGUAAAGAGCUCGUAGGCGGUCUGUCACGUCGGCUGUGAAAACACGGGGCUCAACUCCGUGCCUGCAGUCGAUACGGGCAGACUAGAGGCAUGCAGGGGAGAACGGAAUUCCUGGUGUAGCGGUGAAAUGCGCAGAUAUCAGGAGGAACACCGGUGGCGAAGGCGGUUCUCUGGGCAUGUCCUGACGCUGAGGAGCGAAAGUGUGGGGAGCGAACAGG